AAAAGUGAAAGACGGUCUUGCUGUCACUUAUAGAUGGAUCCGCGCUGCAUUAGCUAGUUGGUAAGGUAACGGCUUACCAAGGCAACGAUGCAUAGCCGACCUGAGAGGGUGAUCGGCCACACUGGAACUGAGACACGGUCCAGACUCCUACGGGAGGCAGCAGUAGGGAAUCUUCCGCAAUGGGCGAAAGCCUGACGGAGCAACGCCGCGUGAGUGAUGAAGGUCUUCGGAUCGUAAAACUCUGUUAUUAGGGAAGAACAUAUGUGUAAGUAACUGUGCACAUCUUGACGGUACCUAAUCAGAAAGCCACGGCUAACUACGUGCCAGCAGCCGCGGUAAUACGUAGGUGGCAAGCGUUAUCCGGAAUUAUUGGGCGUAAAGCGCGCGUAGGCGGUUUUUUAAGUCUGAUGUGAAAGCCCACGGCUCAACCGUGGAGGGUCAUUGGAAACUGGAAAACUUGAGUGCAGAAGAGGAAAGUGGAAUUCCAUGUGUAGCGGUGAAAUGCGCAGAGAUAUGGAGGAACACCAGUGGCGAAGGCGACUUUCUGGUCUGUAACUGACGCUGAUGUGCGAAAGCGUGGGGAUCAAACAGGAUUAGAUACCCUGGUAGUCCACGCCGUAAACGAUGAGUGCUAAGUGUUAGGGGGUUUCCGCCCCUUAGUGCUGCAGCUAACGCAUUAAGCACUCCGCCUGGGGAGUAC
rnacentral:rRNA from 1 species